rnacentral:rRNA from 1 species
UACAGAGGGUGCGAGCGUUAAUCGGAAUUACUGGGCGUAAAGCGCGCGUAGGCGGCUUUGCAAGUCGGGUGUGAAAUCCCCAGCUUAACCUGGGAACUGCGUGUGAUACUGGAUGGCUUGAAUUCGGGAGAGGGAUGCAGAAUUCCAGGUGUAGCGGUGAAAUGCGUAGAUAUCUGGAGGAAUACCGGUGGCGAAGGCGGCAUCCUGGACCGACAUUGACGCUGAGGAGCGAAAGCUAGGGGAGCAA